GGAAUAUUGCACAAUGGGCGCAAGCCUGAUGCAGCGACGCCGCGUGAGGGAUGACGGCCUUCGGGUUGUAAACCUCUUUCAGUAGGGAAGAAGCGAAAGUGACGGUACCUGCCGAAGAAGCGACGGCUACCUCCGUGCCACCAGCCGCGGGAAUACGUCGGGCGCACGCGUUAUCCGGAAUUAUUGGGCGUAAAGAGCUCGUAGGCGGUUUGUCGCGUCUGCCGUGAAAGUCCGGGGCUCAACUCCGGAUCUGCGGUGGGUACGGGCAGACUAGAGUGAUGUAGGGGAGACUGGAAUUCCUGGUGUAGCGGUGAAAUGCGCAGAUAUCAGGAGGAACACCGAUGGCGAAGGCAGGUCUCUGGGCAUUAACUGACGCUGAGGAGCGAAAGCAUGGGGAGCGAAC
rnacentral:rRNA from 1 species